CUUUUGACAGCCUUGAGCUUUCCCGGGCAGGAACUUCCUGGGGCUGCAGUCAGCCUAGAAACAUGGCUUUGGGCUGUGGAAACGCUGCUACUGUGGAAGUCUCUUAUCGCGGGGUGGACGCGGUCGCUACGCGCCCAGCCUUCUUCUGUGGUUCUCACAGCCCGCCCCCACUUCCAUCUCGGGGACCUUUGCGGGGAGGCCUCAGGCUGGAGUAUAGUGGCAUGAUCAUAGAUCACUGCAGCCUCAAACUCCUGGGCUCAAGCAAUCCUCCCACCUCAGCCUCCAUAUAGCUGGUGGGGAUCAAGUUUCUAACACAUGAAUCUUGGGAGACACAUUCAGACCAUCACAGUGGCCUUAUAAAAAGAGACACAAGGGCUUGCUCUCUGCCAUGUGAGUAUACCACAAGAAGACUGUCCUCAGCAAAUCAGAGAGCAGGUGGACCCUCAUCAGACACCAGAUGUGCCUGCACCUUUAUCUUGGACUUGCCAGCCUUCAGAACAGUAAGAAAGAAAUGUGUGUUGUUUAAGCCGCCCAGUCUAUGGAAACUUGUUAUAGCACCCCACUAAGAGACCCCAAGAUAUUUAAAAACUCAUCAGCACCUGCCUUCUGCAUCUGGAUCCUGAUCUUCUGGCGGGUUUACCAGUUACUUGCAGAGUGUCCCUGUGAUAGUUUU
rnacentral:lncRNA from 1 species